AAGGAUCAUUACCGAGUGUGCAUAGCACGUUCCACCCUUGAGUACAUACCGGUUGCCUUGGCGGGAGGUUUCUGAUGUUUGGAAGGAUGUGAUGGUGUUUGGAAGGACGCUUUUGCGUUUGGAAGGAUGCUGUUGGGUUCUGAAGAAUGUUGGGGCGCUCGCCGAGAAACAAACUCGAUUACUUGCAGUCUGAGACAAACAAAAAAUCAAUCAAAACUUUCAACAACGGAUCUCUUGGUUCUG
rnacentral:misc_RNA from 1 species